rnacentral:rRNA from 1 species
GGUCAAGUGAUUCCGCGCCGACAAUGUAGCGGGGCUCAAGUACACCGCCGAAGCUGUGGCAUUCACACAUUUGCUAGGCCUUCGUGGUCCAGGCGUGUGGAUGGGUAGGGGAGCGUCGUGUGGGCGUUGAAGCCGCGGGGGAACCCAGCGGUGGAGCCUACACGAGUGAGAAUGCAGGCAUGAGUAGCGAAUGACGGGUGAGAAUCCCGUCCGCCGAAUGACCAAGGGUUCCAGGGCCAGGUUCAUCCUCCCUGGGUUAGUCGGGACCUAAGGCGAGGCCGACAGGCGUAGUCGAUGGACAACGGGUUGAUAUUCCCGUACCGGCGAAGGACCGCCCAUACUGAGCAAUGGAUGCUAACCAUGACGGAUUCCAGCGUUGAUGCCUUUUAGGUGUCUUGUUGGUUGGUGUGGUGGGAACCGAUGUUGUGAGGUCAGCGUAUUAACAGGUGUGACGCAGGAAGGUAGCCGAGCCAGGCAAUGGAAUUGACCUGGUCCAAGGGUGUAGGAAGAACGGUAGGCAAAUCCGCUGUUCAUUGUUUCUGAGACCUGAUAGGCGCCCCGUUUGUGGGGUGAUUCGGUGAUCCUAUGCUGCCUAGAAAAGCAUCGGCGCGAGGUCCCAGUCCGCCCGUACCCUAAACCGACACAGGUGAUCAGGUAGAGAAUACUAAGGCGAUCGAGAGAAUCAUGGUUAAGGAACUCGGCAAAAUGCCCCCGUAACUUCGGAAGAAGGGGGGCCUGCCCCGUGAUGGAGACUUGCUCUCCGGAUGCGGGUGUGGGCCGCAGAGACCAGGGGGAAGCGACUGUUUACUAAAAACACAGGUCCGUGCGAAGUCGCAAGACGAUGUAUACGGACUGACGCCUGCCCGGUGCUGGAAGGUUAAGAGGACCGGUUAGCUCUUCGGAGCGAAGCUGAGAAUUUAAGCCCCAGUAAACGGCGGUGGUAACUAUAACCAUCCUAAGGUAGCGAAAUUCCUUGUCGGGUAAGUUCCGACCUGCACGAAUGGCGUAACGACUUCUCCGCUGUCUCAACCAUAAACUCGGCGAAAUUGCAGUACGAGUAAAGAUGCUCGUUACGCGCAGCAGGACGGAAAGACCCCGGGACCUUUACUAUAGCUUGGUAUUGGUGUUCGGAACGGCUUGUGUAGGAUAGGUGGGAGACUGUGAAGCUCGGACGCUAGUUCGGGUGGAGUCAUCGUUGAAAUACCACUCUGGCUGUACCGGUCACCUAACUUCGGACCAUGAUCUGGUUCAGGGACAGUGCCUGAUGGGUAGUUUAACUGGGGCGGUUGCCUCCUAAAAUGUAACGGAGGCGCCCAAAGGUUCCCUCAGCCUGGUUGGCAAUCAGGUGUUGAGUGUAAGUGCACAAGGGAGCUUGACUGUGAGAGUGACAGCUCGAGCAGGGACGAAAGUCGGGACUAGUGAUCCGGCGGCACCUCGUGGAAGGGCCGUCGCUCAACGGAUAAAAGGUACCCCGGGGAUAACAGGCUGAUCUUGCCCAAGAGUCCAUAUCGACGGCAUGGUUUGGCACCUCGAUGUCGGCUCGUCGCAUCCUGGGGCUGGAGUAGGUCCCAAGGGUUGGGCUGUUCGCCCAUUAAAGCGGUACGCGAGCUGGGUUUAGAACGUCGUGAGACAGUUCGGUCCCUAUCCGCUGCGCGCGUAGGAAACUUGAGGAGACCUGUCCCUAGUACGAGAGGACCGGGACGGACGAACCACUGGUGUGCCAGUUGUACCGCCAGGUGCAUGGCUGGUUAGCUACGUUCGGAAGGGAUAACCGCUGAAAGCAUCUAAGCGGGAAGCCUGCUCCAAGAUAAGGUUUCCAUCACCCUUGUGGUGUGUAGGCACCCAGUAGACCACUGGGUUGAUAGGCCGGAUGUGGAAGCGAGGACUAACGACUCGUGGAGCUGACCGGUACUAAUCUGCCAACAACUUAAAACA